CUUCACCUGUAGAGUCCAACAGAACAACAUCCACCAGACCAGAGAGGCUCACAUACAUGUUCCAGAUGAUUUCUUCUUGUCCUUGUCCAGUUCUGUUGUUCUUAUCAUCACUGCUUUGGCUGUUAGCUUAGCUGUUAGCAUCAUGCUUAUUUUAGCAUGUGUCUUCUUUGUGUGGAGACAAAAUAGAACCAAAACCAAGAAAAGAUCCAGAGAUGAAGCUGAAAGAGGAGAAAAGCUCCUGACAGAGGAAACAGUGAAGAUGAAGGUUUUAGAAGAAACUAAGGUUGAGAGGGAAAAGAAGUAAAAGAUUAAAGGUUUAGAUUGAUCAGUUUGAAGAAAGUUUGAUCAGUAAACCUGCUGACUGAUCAUCAUCCAUCUGUCUGUCUCAUAGCUGACAGAGAAAUAUGAGAAGAUUAAA